GGGCCUGUAGCUUAGCCCGGUGGAGCGUCCGGCUCAUAACCGGAUGGUCGUCGGUUCAAAUCCGACCAGGCCCA
rnacentral:tRNA from 1 species